rnacentral:rRNA from 1 species
UACGGGGGGGGCGAGCGUUAUUCGGAAUUAUUGGGCGUAAAGGGCGCGUAGGCGGCCAGUCAAGUCAAAGGUGAAAUCCCUCGGCUCAACCGAGGAAUGGCCUUUGAAACUGCCUGGCUAGAGGCCGGGAGGGGGUAGCGGAAUUCCCAGUGUAGCGGUGAAAUGCGUAGAUACUGGGAGGAACACCAGUGGCGAAGGCGGCUACCUGGACCGGUUCUGACGCUGAUGCGCGAAAGCGUGGGGAGCAAACAGG